UGAGGAAUAUUGGUCAAUGGGCGCGAGCCUGAACCAGCCAAGUAGCGUGAAGGAUGACUGCCCUAUGGGUUGUAAACUUCUUUUGUCCGGGAAUAAAACCGCCUACGUGUAGGCGCUUGUAUGUACCGGUACGAAUAAGCAUCGGCUAACUCCGUGCCAGCAGCCGCGGUAAUACGUAGGCGGCAAGCGUUGUCCGGAAUUAUUGGGCGUAAAGGGAGCGCAGGCGGGAAACUAAGCGGAUCUUAAAAGUGCGGGGCUCAACCUUAAAAUUGCAGUUGAUACUGGAGACCUUGAGUGCAGUUGAGGCAGGCGGAAUUCGUGGUGUAGCGGUGAAAUGCUUAGAUAUCACGAAGAACUCCGAUUGCGAAGGCAGCUUGCUAAAGUGUAACUGACGUUCAUG
rnacentral:rRNA from 1 species